GUUCAGAGCAUCAAAGGAAGGAAUGGAAGCAGCAGUAGAGAAGCAGCGAGUCAGGGAAGAAAUACUGGCAAAAGGUGGCUUUCUUCCUCCAGAAGAAAUAAAAGAAAGAUUUGACAGCAACUGUAUUACACCAGGAACCGAGUUCAUGGACCAUCUUGCUAAAUGCCUUCGCUAUUACAUAGCUGAUCGUUUAAAUAAUGAUCCUGGGUGGAAAAUUUUGACAGUUAUUUUAUCUGAU